rnacentral:rRNA from 1 species
UACGUAGGUGGCGAGCGUUGUCCGGAUUUAUUGGGCGUAAAGCGCGUGCAGGUGGUUGGUUAAGUCCGAUGUAAAAUCUCCCGGCUCACCUGGGAGGGCGCGUUGGAGACUGGCCGACUGGAGGCAGGUAGAGGCCGGUGGAAUUCCCGGUGUAGUGGUGAAAUGCGUAGAUAUCGGGAGGAAUACCUAUGGCGAAAGCAGGCUACUGGACCAUCACUGACGCUGAUCUGCGAAAGCUAGGGGAGCAAACAGG